rnacentral:rRNA from 1 species
AAAUUGAAGAGUUUGAUCAUGGCUCAGAUUGAACGCUGGCGGCAGGCCUAACACAUGCAAGUCGAACGGUAACAGGAAGCAGCUUGCUGCUUUGCUGACGAGUGGCGGACGGGUGAGUAAUGUCUGGGAAACUGCCUGAUGGAGGGGGAUAACUACUGGAAACGGUAGCUAAUACCGCAUAACGUCGCAAGACCAAAGAGGGGGACCUUAGGGCCUCUUGCCAUCGGAUGUGCCCAGAUGGGAUUAGCUAGUAGGUGGGGUAACGGCUCAC